CCCAGUAAACACAGUACAGAUGUCAAAGUGAAAAAUUCACAAGCUAUUCAUAACAAGCCAUCUGCUGAAAAUAAUUUGUCUAAACUAUUUGGGGAAAAUUUACGAAGUAAUGAAAAUGCUCAGAGAUAUUUGGGAAGAUUCUGACUACCAAAAAAUCAUGAAAGGGCCUAAUGAUAUGUUUUGGAUACAACCGAAAGCUUUACAGCUUGCUGCAGGAUUUGGGAUACUAAAUUCUCUUUGGCCUGCCAUGCUAAGUACUGGCUGCUCAGUUUGGAAGCACGUAAGCCUUUUUCACAUUUACGAUUACCCUACAAGAACGUGCAGUUUGGGCACAGUCCAUGGUCUGAUUUAUAUUCCCAGGGUGAUAAACGGCCAAACUCCCACUCGGGCUGUAUUUGGACUAUAUUGGGAGCCCAGCCUUUUAGAAAUUCAAUCCAUCCAAGCAAUACCAAGUCAUACCCAACCUUCACAGACCUUGCUCAAGAAAAGACAUACCUAACCUUCAACAAUUUUUCAUUCAGGACAAUUUGUUUAUUCAGCUCACUUACUGUCUUGGAAACAUCACUGGAGGAGACCUGAGCAAGCUGUCACAGAGCAGAGCUGACCUUGAAGUGCUGUGCCAGCAAGUUAGCCCCAAAACGGUGUUCAACACAGCAAAUUCCCACAAGGAGAUUGGGAAUGGAUGCAGUGCAGAGAAGGGGUUCAUUCCAAAGGAUAUGGGCCCUCAGGGAAGAAAGCCAAGCAUGUUGUGUGGUGCUGGUCAGUUUCUAUUACUGUUGGGUCUGAGUGUGUCCAUCACCACAUUGUGAAGAUGCAAAGCUGCAAAGCCACAAAUGCACAGAAGGUUGCUGCCUCACCUCACCUUUUCAUAGACCCGGCAAUUUUCCUUAUCGUUGGCAGCAACUGGGGAUAAAAUCUGCGUGUGAACUGCUUCCAGCAGGACCUGCCUUAUUCACCCCAUGGGACAGGACUUCCCUGCCUUCUCUCUGCCUGCCCUUUGCAGAGUUUCCAACAGCGUUCUGGCUCCCAGCAGCUCAGACUAUGGGGGUAAGGGGAGAGCUCUGUUCCAGGCAGGUUCCCUCCUCCCAGGCAUUGCUACUGGAGAGACACAGAAGUUUAGCAUCUCCCACCUGGCACCAGGGUUAUUUAUGCAACAUAUUCCCCCUCCUUUUGUCCAGAAAGCUGCAUCCCUCUCUCCCCACGACUGGGCUGACUCCUGAGGAGCAGAAACCCAACCCCGGGGCUCCAUCCUGAGGAAACUGUACCUUGCUGGGACAAGGACUGCAGAUGGCUGCAGCUGCUCAAGCCAACUGGGACGGCAGCCGCCGGCCCCCACGCAGCACCCCGCGGCUCAGGUGUC